CAGUCGCCGCGGUAAUACGAGGGGGGCAAGCGUUGUUCGGAAUUAUUGGGCGUAAAGGGCGCGUAGGCGGUUUGACAAGUUUGGUGUGAAAUCUAUGGGCUCAACCCAUAGCCUGCAUCGAAAACUGUCGGGCUUGAGUAUGGGAGAGGUGAGUGGAAUUUCCGGUGUAGCGGUGAAAUGCGUAGAUAUCGGAAGGAACACCUGUGGCGAAAGCGGCUCACUGGACCAUUACUGACGCUGAGGCGCGAAAGCUAGGGGAGCAAACAGGAUUAGAUACCCCCGUAGUCCCUGUCUCUUAUAC
rnacentral:rRNA from 1 species